ACGUACGGCCAUAGAUACUGGAAAGCACGGGAUCCCGUCCGCUCUCCCCUAGUUAAACCAGUAAUCGGCGGAUUAGUAGUUGGGUCUGGUGACGACCAGCGAAUACCCUCUGCUGUACGUU
rnacentral:rRNA from 1 species